AAUAGAAAUUAUUUUUUUUAAAUAUCAUUUCUUUCGUCCCUAAUACCAAAAAAUGUUUUAUUUAAAAUCUUUAAAGAGAGUUUAAAAUUGAUUCAAAACUAAUAUACUUUCAUUUUAUUUCGAAACCUGUACUAUCAAAUACUGAGAAAUAUUUUCCCAUGUAUUUCCGUGAUUUCAUGACGACCCUAAAGAAAGAGUAGGGGACAACACCCCUACAACUUUUUAAAUGUUAUGGAAAUAGGAAAUAGAGGGGGAGACAACUAUCAUAAAGAGAUAUAUAGGCCAUUGAAUUUAUUAACACUCCUAUCCUUUUGAGGGAAAGAUACCCGAACAAUGCCCUUGUGUUCUUAUGUGCUCAAAGAGCUCCUUGUGCUUAUUAACAACUAAGUGACUUUUACAUAUUAAUAUAUGUUUAUAACUGGAUUUCUAAUUGUAUAGUGUUUCGUCUUUAGAUUCUUCUUCUAUAUACAGUAUACUCAGUAUAUUCUAAUAAAAUUGUUCGUAACUUUUGAA